rnacentral:RNase_P_RNA from 1 species
AAGGCGGGACGAUCUAUCGCUGUCUUGCGCCAUAGGGCCGGGACAGAGGAAAGUCCGGACAGGACAGGGCACCGCACUGUGGAAAGCACAGGUAAGCGAAAGUUUACGUACAACGCAGAAGAAAACAACCGCCCUGCAUCCGGUUCAACCGCAUGCAGGGUAAGGGUGAGAAUGCAGGGGUAAGAGCCUGCAGCCUUAUAUGGCGACAUAUAAGACGUGCGCACUGCGGCCUGCAAUGCCAAAUAUACUGACAGUCAAGGGCGGCCCGUCCGUUGUCAGGGGGUAGGCAGCGAAGAUAAAUGAUAGAUUUAAAAACAGAACCCGGCUUACGGCCCCGCCUUUUUA